GGCUGGUCCGAUGGUAGUGGGUUAUCAAAACUUAUUAGCAUUAGUGUCACUAAAGUUGGUAUUUAACCCUCCAGUGCUAAAUUUGAUUGGCUUUUA
rnacentral:Y_RNA from 1 species